rnacentral:lncRNA from 1 species
UUUUGGACAAUCAUGCCACCUAGUGGCCAUUCAGACACACAACCAUAGGUCUCUGCAAGAGGCCCGCGGAUGACACACAUGCUCACCGCAGGAGGGAUGUGACCACAUCCAAGGUGAGGAACAGAGAGAUGAGCCCCAGCGACGGGAAGCAAGUUACAAAGUUAAAGAGAAGAAGCCAGCGUGGAUAGUGUGGAAAACUCGCACCCACGAGUUAGGACAGGGUCCUGAUUCAGACUUUUGCUUAAAUUCUACCUUUGGAUAAAUGUUUCCUUCACUCACUCAACAAACUUUGGCUGAGCACCUACUAUGUGCCCAUUGCUGUGUCAGAUGGUGCGGACAUGACCAUAAGCCAGGAGUACUAGCCUCUAGCUUCACAGUCCCAGAGGGGAGGAAGAUAAUUAAACUGAGAAUCAACAGUGACACCACCAGUUAAUAUAAAUGAAAGACUGACUCUGCUGCCAGAUACUGUGCCAGCAGCUUGAGGAUCACUAACCUGAGUGGGCUUUCCAACAGUCACGAUGGGGGUAAAUUACAUUCGGGAUGGAUAAGCAGUGGGAUCCUACUGUACAGCACAGGAAACAAUCUAAUCUCUUGUGAUAGAACAUGAUGAGAGAUAGUAUGUGGAAAAAAAUGUAUAUAUAUAUAUAUAUGUAUGAUUGGGUCACUUUGCUGUACAGCAGAAAUUGAAGGAAUAUUGUAAAUCAACCAUACUUUAAUAAAAAAUUUUUAAAUGAGUGGGAGGACGUGUAAGCUAUGACUAAUAAACUCAAGGCUCUUAUGCCUUUCUAAGUUUCUGAAAGUGAGGUUGUUGGACUAGAUACUGAAAAAAUUUCCAAGGGCUCUUCCCAGCUCAGUUUCUCUUUACUUCUAGGACCUUUUGGGUAGAGCUUAGACUAGGAACCAGGUCAUCUGACCAAGACUCUAGGGCCUUCUCUUCAUCCACUAUGCUAAUCAGUGCUUAUUAAUAAUACUGGUAGUUAUCAAAUGCUUACUAUAUGUUAUAUUCUGAAUUUACAUCAGCUGACGCAACCCUUUUAACAAACCAUGAAACUAUGAAAUAUGUUUAGAUGGGAAUAAUACCUGAGUUAAAAAAUCACUCUCGGGGUUCCCAUCAUGGCACAGUGGAAACGAAUCUGACUAGGAACCAUGAGGUUGUGGGUUUGAUCCCUGGCUUUGCUCAGUGGGUUAAGGAUCUGGCGUUGCCCUGACCUGUGGUGUGGGUCAUGGACAUGGCUCAGAUCUGGUGUUGCUGCAGCUCUGGCAUAGGCUGGUAGCAAUAGCUCUGAUUGGACCCCUAGUCUGGGAACCUCCACAUGCCGCAGGUGAGGCCCUAAAAGCUCAAAAGACAAAAAAAAAAAAAAAAAAAANAAAAAAAAAAAAAUCACUCGCUAAUUUUUUUUUAAAAUGUCCCAAGACAAAUGGAGAAGUUUCCAAUCUAACCCAAGAGUAUGAUUCUUAACUACCGUGUUCCUGAUUGAUCUGGUUACAUGGUGGAUUAAAAAUACUUAUGGAUGGGUGGCUUCAGGUUCCCAGGACCAGAAUGGACAAUGGGCCCAAGCAAAUGAUGGUUCAAAAAGCAGUUACCGUUCAGGGAAAUAAGGAGCACAUUUCUCAGCAACAUUGCACUGGGGGUAUCUCUGGGCUCCAAGAAUAGCUGCAGAGCCUGCAAGGCCAAAUGCAGGCAGACACGACCCCUUGCUUUUAUUUCUGAUCCCAAGUGAAUAAAGUACGUUCCCAUCGUAAGAGCUGUCAUGCCCCCAUAGUCCUGCAAUCAUUGCUUUGUCUCUCUGUGGACUGGGAACACAGAAGAUGGGCUGGGUGGCUUGUCUAACUUUAGGCACUCAGUAUCUAGCACCACAUCUGGAUCACAGAGGUGCUGACUUCCAAAGAACUGGAAAGGAGAGUAAGGAAUUCCAGGGCUGGAUAAGGCCUCAGAGGUCAUCUCAUUUCAGCUCUGGCCCAAUACAAGAUUUCCUUAGAAAAUCAUUAAAAAAAAAAAAAAUCAAAAGUUUAAAAAAGUGUGGUGUGGUUUCCCCUUGUGACUAAGUGGUAAUGAAUCUGAUUAUUAUCCAUGAGGACAUGGGUUUGAUCCCUGGCCCCGCUCAGCAGGUUAAGGAUCUGGCAUUGCCCUGAGCUGUGGGGUAGGUCACAGAUGCAGCUCAGAUCCUGCAUUGCUGUGGCUGUGGUAUAGGCUGGCGGCUGCAGCUCCAAUUCAAUCCCUCGCCUGGGAACUUCCAUACGCCUCAAGUGUGGUCCUGGGGCGGGGGGGUAGGGGUGUGUGUGUGUGUGUACACAUUUGUACAUAUAGGGUAUCCUUCUCAUGUGCCAGGAUGAGUAAAGACACGUGUAAAGACACCGAGAGCAAGAUUUAAGAUUCACUCAGCUCUUCUUUCUUUGAGAAUUAGCCAUCAUCUUUGCUGAGAGGUUUGGCUUUGCCCUUAUUUUUGAAGAAAGAUAUGCUAUUGAGAAAAAAAAAUGUGUAAAAUACAUGUAACACAACUUAACACCUUUGCUCUAUUUCCUUCUACUCUUUGUUCAGGGGGUUUCUAAGGUAGCGAAACCCACGCCCUAUUAUACAAUGUUAUGUUCUGCUUCUUUUCAGCAAUGGUAUUCUCCUUGGUGAUUAUAAGCUCUUCAUAAGCAUCAGCUUUAUUUUUUAUUUAUUUAUUUAUUUAUCUUGUCUUUUUGCCAUUUCUUGGGCCGAUCCCAUGGCAUAUGGAGGUUCCCAGGCUAUGGGUCUAAUCGGAGCUAUAGCCACCCACCUACGCCACAGCCACAGCAACGUGGGAUCCGAGCCGCGUCUGCAACCCACACCACAGCUCACAGCAACACCAGAUCCUUAACCCGCUGAGCAAGGCCAGGGAU